rnacentral:lncRNA from 1 species
GUCACAAAGAGUUGGACAUGACUGAGCAACUGAACUGAACUGAAGAAAGUAUGUUGCCAGCAUCCUGUGACUCACUUAAAGGCCCUGUGGCAUGAAUCAAGGUAUGGUUUCUCUUUACCAUCUUCUUUCUACUUUUGAAUAUAGACUGUUUCAUUUGAAGGGGAAAGUAUUUGAAAGCUACCUCUUACCUACCAAUACUUUUUUAUGCAAGUGUGGCUUUAUUAUUGUUGUUGUUAUCAUUUUUAUGUACAUCCUAGACUUUUUAAUACUCUUAGUGGUUUGCAUCAUCACAGACCUUAAGGAAACCCAAACUGCUCCCCAGACGAGGGGGACAUGA